GCGAUAGCGUGCUGAGCUAGCGGCUAGAACGAUGCUUGUGUCGCGGCGUGUUGACGAAGCCCUGACGAGAAAGCGACGGCAUCGUAAAAGGAAAAGCCUGUCUAAUGGGGACGAAGUAGUUCAGAUGUUUGCAAUUGGCACAUCAACGUGGCACACAAGUGAGGCCUGUUUUGCCAAGUGGUGCAGAAUUCACGCUACCAGCUCCACUACAGUGUCAGCAUGGAAAUGUCGAGCACCAACCUAGUAAGCCUUCAGUGACCACGGUUUCGCUCAUGCCCUCCCCAUUGAGACUACGGCGUGAUAAUUGGAUGCGAUCAAACGCCAUCUUCAUCAGA